rnacentral:miRNA from 1 species
ACUGCUGCUAAUUAAAGGCUUGC